rnacentral:rRNA from 1 species
AAUUAACCCUACCCUGCCCUGACCAUGAAGGGAACUUUCAAAAAAUGGAUUGCGCCCUUGGGAAACGGAAAACCGGUUCUUCCAUGGUGGUGGUCGGUUGGGUUCUUGGGAUGUUGGGUUAAGUCCUGAAACAAGCCCAACCCUUUCCUUUAGUUACCACCAGGUUAGGUUGGGCACUUAAGGGGGACGCCCGGGGCAAACCGGGAGAAAGGUGGGAAGGAGGCCAGGUCUCCUUGGCCUUAAGGCCCAGGGCUCCCCACUUCUUCCAAUGGCCGGAACAAAGGGCUGCCAACCCGGGAGGGGAGCCAACCCCAAAAACCCGAUCGUAGUCCGGAUUGCAUUGCAACUCGAUGCAUGAAGUGGAAUCGCUAGUAAUCGCGAUCAGAAUGUCGCGGAUCCC